AAUAACCCGGGGAAACUCGGGCUAAUACCGCAUACGCUCUACGGAGGAAAGCCGGGGACCGCAGGGCCUGGCGCUAGUAGAUGAGCCCAAAUCGGAUUAGCUAGUUGGUGAGGUAAUGGCUCACCAAGGCGACGAUCCGUAGCUGGUUUGAGAGAACGACCAGCCACACCGGAACUGAGACACGGUCCGGACUCCUACGGGAGGCAGCAGUGGGGAAUAUUGGACAAUGGGCGAAAGCCUGAUCCAGCGACGCCGCGUGGGUGAAGAAGGCCUGCGGGUUGUAAAGCCCUUUCGGUUGGGAAGAAAAGUAUCGGCUUAAUACGUCGGUACCUUGACGUAACCAACAAAAGAAGCACCGGCUAACUCUGUGCCAGCAGCCGCGGUAAUACAGAGGGUGCAAGCGUUAAUCGGAAUUACUGGGCGUAAAGCGCGCGUAGGCGGCUUUUCAAGUCGAGUGUGAAAUCCCCGGGCUUAACCCGGGACCCGCAUUCGAAACUGUCUUGCUAGAGUAUGGGAGAGGGAAGUGGAAUUUCAGGUGUAGCGGUGAAAUGCGUAGAUGUCUGAAGGAACAUCAGUGGCGAAAGCGACUUCCUGGACCAAUACUAACGCUCAGGUGCGAAAGCGUGGGGAGCAAACAGGAUUAGAUACCCUGGUAGUCCACGCCGUAAACGAUGAAUGCUAGCCGUUGGAUAGCUUGCUAUUCAGUGGCGCAGCUAACGCAUUAAGCAUUCCGCCUGGGGAGUACGGCCGCAAGGUUGAAACCCAAAGGAAUUGACGGGGGCCCGCACAAGCGGUGGAGCAUGUGGUUUAAUUCGACGCAACGCGCAGAACCUUACCAGGGUUUGACAUCCUACGACCGCUCCUUAAUAGGAGUUUUCCCGCAAGGGACGUAGAGACAGGUGCUGCAUGGCUGUCGUCAGCUGUCGUGAGAUGUUGGGUUAAGUCCCGCAACGAGCGCAACCCUCGCCUUUAGUUGCCAUCAUUCAGUUGGGCACUCUAGAGGGACCGCCGGCGACAAGCCGGAGGAAGGUGGGGAUGACGUCAAGUCCUCAUGGCCCUUACACCCUGGGCUACACACGUGCUACAAUGGCGGUGACAGUGGGCAGCUACGUCGCGAGACGCGGCUAAUCCCAAAAAACCGUCCCAGUUCAGAUUGCACUCUGCAACUCGAGUGCAUGAAGGUGGAAUCGCUAGUAAUCGCAGAACAGCAGGCUGCGGUGAAUACGUUCCCGGGCCUUGUACACACCGCCCGUCACGGCAUGGGAGUUGGUUCUACCCGAAGGCAGUGCGCUAACCGCAAGGGGGCAGCUGACCACGGUAGGAUCAGCGACUGGGCCGAAGUCGUAACAAGGUA
rnacentral:rRNA from 1 species